GUGAAGAAGGCCUUCGGGUUGUAAAGCACUUUCAGUAGGGAGGAAGGUAGUGUAGUUAACACCUGCAUUAUUUGACGUUACCUACAGAAGAAGCACCGGCUAACUCCGUGCCAGCAGCCGCGGUAAUACGGAGGGUGCGAGCGUUAAUCGGAAUUACUGGGCGUAAAGCGCAUGCAGGCGGCCUGUUAAGUCAGAUGUGAAAGCCCGGGGCUUAACCUCGGAAUUGCAUUUGAAACUGGCAGGCUAGAGUCUUGUAGAGGGGGGUAGGAAUUUCAGGUGUAGCGGUGAAAUGCGUAGAGAUCUGAAGGAAUACCAGUGGCGAAGGCGGCCCCCUGGACAAAGACUGACGCUCAGAUGCGAAAGCGUGGGGAGCAAACAGGAUUAGAUACCCUGGUAG
rnacentral:rRNA from 1 species